rnacentral:rRNA from 1 species
UUAAGUUAAUAAGGGCGCAUGGUGGAUGCCUUGGCACUAGAAGGCGAUGAAGGACGUGACUAACUACGAUAUGCCUCGGUUAGCUGUAAGUAAGCUUACCCGGGGGUUUCCGAAUGGGGCAACCCGAUCUUAAUGAUCAUCAUCUUUUUGAAUUCAUAGAUUAGAUGAAGCAAACGCUGUGAACUGAAACAUCUCAGUAGCAGUAGGAAAGUAAAGAAAUUUCGAUUCCGUCAGUAGCGGCGAGCGAACGCGGAAGAGCCCAAACCUGGAUGCUUGCAUCCAGGGGUUGUAGGACUGAUGUUGAGUUACAAAGGUAUAAGAUAGCAGAAACAGUUGGGAAGCUGUUCCAAAGAGGGUGACAGGCCCGUAUGCGAAAUCUUGUACUCUCUAAUCAGGAUCCUGAGUACGGCCCAGCACGUGAAAUUGGGUCGGAAUCUGGGAGGACCAUCUCCCAAGGCUAAAUACUAACUAGUGACCGAUAGCGAACAAGUACCGUGAGGGAAAGGUGAAAAGAACCCCGGAAGGGGAGUGAAAUAGUUCUUGAAACCGUGUGCUUACAAGAAGUUCGAGGCCGUUAAUGGCUGAGAGCGUGCUUUUUGUAGAAUGAACCGGAGAGUUACGAUUGCGUGCAAGGUUAAGGUGCAAAGACUGGAGCCGUAGCGAAAGCGAGUCUUAAUAGGGCGAAUCAGUACGUAGUUGUAGACCCGAAACCGAGUGACCUAUCCAUGGUCAGGUUGAAGGUGGGGUAAUACCUACUGGAGGACCGAACAAGUGGGUGUUAAAAAACCCUUUGAUGAACUGUGGAUAGCGGUGAAAUUCCAAUCGAACUCGGAGAUAGCUGGUUCUAUCCGAAAUACAUUUAGGUGUAGCCUUGCAAUUAGCUUACUGGAGGUAGAGCACUAUUUGGUCUAGGGGCCCUUCAAGGGUUACCAAAAUCAGAUAAACUCCGAAUGCCAGCUAAGUAUGUGCAGGAGUCAGACGGUGAGUGAUAAGAUCCAUCGUCGAAAGGGGAACAGCCCAGAUCACCAGUUAAGGUCCCUAAAUAUAUGCUAAGUGGAAAACGUUGUGAAGGUGCAUAGACAACUAGGAGGUUGGCUCAGAAGCAGCCACCCUUUAAAGAGUGCGUAAUAGCUCACUAGUCGAGUGCUCUUGCGCGGAUAAUGUACCGGGGCUAAGCAUAUUACCGAAACUGUGGAUGCGUAAGCAUGGUAGGAUAGCGUAAUUAACGCGAUGAAGGAUGACCGUAAGGACAUGUUGGAGCGUUAACUAGUGAGAAUUCCGGUAUGAGUAGCGAAAGAUAGGUGAGAAUCCUAUCCACCGAAUGAGUAAGGUUUCCCCCGGAAGGCUCGUCCGCGGGGGGUUAGUCGGGACCUAAGGCGAGGCUGAAAAGCGUAGUCGAUGGACAACAGGUUGAUAUUCCUGUACCGAUAUUUAAUUGCCGAAGGAAGGACGCAGAAGGAUAACACAGGCCACUAUUGGAUGUGGUUUUAAACAGUUAGUCUUCAUAAGAGUCAAAUGCUUUUAUGUUUAAGGAUAAGCUGUGAAUGUACCAAGUUUACUUGGGAAUUGUGUGAUUUCACGCUGCUGAAAAAAGUUUCGUAGGAAGAAAAUAUUGCCCGUACCGCAAACCGACACAGGUACUCGAGUGGAGAACACUAAGGUGAGCGAGUGAACUAUUGUUAAGGAACUCUGCAAAAUGAGUCCGUAACUUCGGAAGAAGGACUGCUGGUUUUAUACCAGCCGCAGCAAAUAGGCCCAAACAACUGUUUAUCAAAAACACAGGUUUCUGCAAAAUCGUAAGAUGAAGUAUAGGGGCUGACGCCUGCCCAGUGCUGGAAGGUUAAAAGGAGGACUUAGCUUCGGCGAAGGUCUUAAUUGAAGCCCCAGUGAACGGCGGCCGUAACUAUAACGGUCCUAAGGUAGCGAAAUUCCUUGUCGGGUAAGUUCCGACCCGCAUGAAAGGCGUAAUGAUUUGGGCGCUGUCUCAACAAUAGACUCGGUGAAAUUUAAAUUCCAGUGAAGAUGCUGGGUACCCGCGACAGGACGGAAAGACCCCGUGGAGCUUUACUGUAGCUUGAUAUUGAAUGUUUGUGCUGCAUGUGCAGGAUAGGUAGGAGACUUUGAAGUCGGAACGCUAGUUUCGAUUGAGUCACCCUUGAGAUACUACCCCUGUUGUAUGAACGUUCUAACUCUGAUCAGUUAUCCUGAUCGAAGACAGUGUCUGGCAGGCAGUUUGACUGGGGCGGUCGCCUCCUAAAAGAUAACGGAGGCGCUCAAAGG